rnacentral:ncRNA from 1 species
UUGGUAGAGGCGCAUUGAUUAUUAGUAGACUGCAGGAUAUGUCAGGCAUAGUGGAGUGCAGUUAAAAGGAUGAGAUGCCGAAGCUUAUGGUGACCUGAAAGCCAUAUGCUGGUUUUAUGAUGAAUAAUUAUAAGACUGUCAUCAGUAUUUGAUGGAGAGCUACCUAA